rnacentral:rRNA from 1 species
ACGGAAGGCAGCAGUAGGGAAUCUUCGGCAAUGGGGGGAACCCUGACCGAGCAACGCCGCGUGAGUGAAGAAGGUUUUCGGAUCGUAAAGCUCUGUUGUAAGAGAAGAACGUUGAGUAGAGUGGAAAGUUACUCAAGUGACGGUAUCUUACCAGAAAGGGACGGCUAACUACGUGCCAGCAGCCGCGGUAAUACGUAGGUCCCGAGCGUUGUCCGGAUUUAUUGGGCGUAAAGCGAGCGCAGGCGGUUUAGUAAGUCUGAAGUUAAAGGCAUUGGCUCAACCAAUGUUUGCUUUGGAAACUGUUAAACUUGAGUGCAGAAGGGGAGAGUGGAAUUCCAUGUGUAGCGGUGAAAUGCGUAGAUAUAUGGAGGAACACCGGUGGCGAAAGCGGCUCUCUGGUCUGUAACUGACGCUGAGGCUCGAAAGCGUGGGUAGCGAACAGGAUUAGAUACCCUGGUA